UGGGCUAUCUGCAGUCGAGCGGAAGAAGGGAGCUUGCUCCCGGAUGUUAGCGGCGGACGGGUGAGUAACACGUGGGUAACCUGCCUGUAAGACUGGGAUAACUCCGGGAAACCGGAGCUAAUACCGGAUAGUUCCUUGAACCGCAUGGUUCAAGGAUGAAAGACGGUUUCGGCUGUCACUUACAGAUGGACCCGCGGCGCAUUAGCUAGUUGGUGAGGUAACGGCUCACCAAGGCGACGAUGCGUAGCCGACCUGAGAGGGUGAUCGGCCACACUGGGACUGAGACACGGCCCAGACUCCUACGGGAGGCAGCAGUAGGGAAUCUUCCGCAAUGGACGAAAGUCUGACGGAGCAACGCCGCGUGAGUGAUGAAGGUUUUCGGAUCGUAAAGCUCUGUUGUUAGGGAAGAACAAGUGCAAGAGUAACUGCUUGCACCUUGACGGUACCUAACCAGAAAGCCACGGCUAACUACGUGCCAGCAGCCGCGGUAAUACGUAGGUGGCAAGCGUUGUCCGGAAUUAUUGGGCGUAAAGGGCUCGCAGGCGGUUUCUUAAGUCUGAUGUGAAAGCCCCCGGCUCAACCGGGGAGGGUCAUUGGAAACUGGGAAACUUGAGUGCAGAAGAGGAGAGUGGAAUUCCACGUGUAGCGGUGAAAUGCGUAGAGAUGUGGAGGAACACCAGUGGCGAAGGCGACUCUCUGGUCUGUAACUGACGCUGAGGAGCGAAAGCGUGGGGAGCGAACAGGAUUAGAUACCCUGGUAGUCCACGCCGUAAACGAUGAGUGCUAAGUGUUAGGGGGUUUCCGCCCCUUAGUGCUGCAGCUAACGCAUUAAGCACUCCGCCUGGGGAGUACGGUCGCAAGACUGAAACUCAAAGGAAUUGACGGGGGCCCGCACAAGCGGUGGAGCAUGUGGUUUAAUUCGAAGCAACGCGAGAACCUUACCAGGUCUUGACAUCCUCUGACACCCUAGAGAUAGGGCUUUCCUUCGGGGACAGAGUGACAGGUGGUGCAUGGUUGUCGUCAGCUC
rnacentral:rRNA from 1 species